rnacentral:sRNA from 1 species
UUACGUCCUCUACUUCCUUCCUGAGCUGU